rnacentral:lncRNA from 1 species
AGUAAAGCAACGCCUAGGAUACUCAGAGCUAAAAAAAACGGAAUUAAGAAAAACGCGAGAGAAGAUUAACUGCAAUUCAUUGACGGAUUGGCGAAUGAAACAGAAGAGGCAUGCAAACAUAGAGAACUAAGUACUGUAUAUGAGACCACUAAAUAGCUAUAGAGAGAAUGUACCAACAAUUACACACCAGUUUUGCAACUCCAAGAAUGGAGAUGUAUUAACAUCUCAGUCACAGAAACUUUAGAUAUGGGCAGAGUACUUUCGGAAAAGACGGG